rnacentral:lncRNA from 1 species
CUCGCAAUGGCUGUGCUUCAUUCUUUUUUUCUGAUCCCAGGCAGUUUCCAAGGCAAAUAAAUGCCCACACCACGUGAGGCUGCCACUGGCUUUCACGGAAAAUUUCUCCCCUUUAGCUUAAAGAGUAUAUAAGUGAAUGCGGUGUUUUAAGAAUCGCCAGUUCUCCGUUCAACUUGGCCACAGCCCAACACAUUUGGACUACCAGUCAUGCCCAGGGAAAGAGCUGUGCCUCAGAGACGCCAGGAAUGUGGACUUCUCCCAAUGGAAAAAAAUACCGAUGAAGAAGAUAUACGUGAAAAAACAUUUUUUUAAAGCUUCUUUGAUUUUUAAGCUUUCUAAUGGUCUUUUUCUCCUUUCUCCUUUCUCCAGUUGAGAAUGAGAUGAAAGGUAGAAACAAAAUCCUGUAAGUUGGCUCUUUCGACGCUUGUCUCUUUCACGUUCAAGUAACAGCACCACUCUGGAAAAGGACAUUCACAGGAUUGUUAAUACGGCUUUGAAGAAGGAAAAAGUGAGAGCACAAGCGAGCCAGCCAGGAGUCGAACCUAGAAUCUUCUGAUCCGUAGUCAGACGCGUUAUCCAUUG